AGAGUUUGAUCAUGGCUCAGGAUCAACGCUGGCGGCGCGCCUAAUGCAUGCAAGUCGGACGGGGUGGCUUUCGGGCCAUUCACGUGGCGGACGGGCGAGGAACACGUGGGCAACCUGCCCUGGGGUGGGGGGUAGCCGCCGGAAACGGCGGGUAAUUCCGCGUACGCUCACUGGGUGAUAGGCCGAGUGAGGAAAGACGCAAGUCACCCUAGGAGGGGCCUGCGGCGGAUUAGCUAGUUGGCGGGGUAACGGCCCACCAAGGCGGUGAUCCGUAGCUGGUCUGAGAGGACGGCCAGCCGCAGGGGGACUGAGACACGGCCCCCACUCCUACGGGAGGCAGCAGCAAGGAAUCUUCCGCAAUGGGCGCAAGCCUGACGGAGCGACGCCGCGUGGGGGAGGACGCCUUUCGGGGUGUAAACCCCUUUUCUCGGGGAAGAUGAUGACGGUACCCGAGGAAUCAGGCCCGGCAAACUACGUGCCAGCCGCCGCGGUAAUUC
rnacentral:rRNA from 1 species